rnacentral:rRNA from 1 species
UUGGAGGGCAAGUCUGGUGCCAGCAGCCGCGGUAAUUCCAGCUCCAAUAGCGUAUAUUAAAGUUGUUGCAGUUAAAAAGCUCGUAGUUGAAUUUCGGGAUUGACGUGAUGGUCAUGCCUUAAGGGGUAUGAACUGUCACUGUUGAUUUCUCACCUUCUGGAGAAACUUGAUGUCCUUUAUUGGGUGUCUUGCGGAUCCAGGACCUUUACCUUGAAAAAAUUAGAGUGUUUAAAGCAGGCAUUUUUGCUCGAAUACAUUAGCAUGGAAUAAUAGAAUAGGACGGCAUGGUUCUAUUUUGUUGGUUUCUAGGAUCACCGUAAUGAUCAAUAGGGAUAGCUGGGGGCAUUAGUAUUCAAUCGUCAGAGGUGAAAUUCUUGGAUUUAUUGAAGACUAACUACUGCGAAAGCAUUUGCCAAGGAUGUUUUCAUUAAUCAAGAACGAAAGUUAGGGGAUCGAAGACGAUCAGAUACCGUCGUAGUCUUAACCAUAAACUAUGCCGACUAGGGAUCAGACGAUGUUAAUUUUUUAAUGACUCGUUUGGCACCUUACGGGAAACCAAAGUGUUUGGGUUC